UACGGAGGGGGCUAGCGUUGUUCGGAAUUACUGGGCGUAAAGCGCACGUAGGCGGCUUUGUAAGUUAGAGGUGAAAGCCCAGGGCUCAACCCUGGAAUUGCCUUUAAGACUGCAUCGCUUGAACAUCGGAGAGGUAAGUGGAAUUCCGAGUGUAGAGGUGAAAUUCGUAGAUAUUCGGAAGAACACCAGUGGCGAAGGCGGCUUUCUGGCCUGUUCUUGACGCUGAGGCGCGAAAGCUAGGGGAGCAAACGGG
rnacentral:rRNA from 1 species